UAAUACGUAGGGUGCGAGCGUUAAUCGGAAUUACUGGGCGUAAAGUGUGCGCAGGCGGCAGAGCAAGUCGAGUGUGAAAGCCCCGGGCUUAACUUGGGAAUUGCGCUCGAAACUACUUUGCUGGAGUGUGGCAGAGGAAGGUGGAAUUCCACGUGUAGCGGUGAAAUGCGUAGAGAUGUGGAGGAACACCAAUGGCGAAGGCAGCCUUCUGGGCCAACACUGACGCUCAUGCACGAAAGCGUGGGGAGCAAACAGGAUUAGAUACCCUGGUAGUCCACGCCCUAAACGAUGACGACUAGUUGUUGGAGGAGUUAAAUCCUUUAGUAACGCAGCUAACGCGCGAAGUCGUCCGCCUGGGGAGUACGGUCGCAAGAUU
rnacentral:rRNA from 1 species